UGAUCCAUUCAAUAAAGGAGAAGUUACAUUCAGUUCCGAUCAACUAUCAUAACAUUUACAUACUGAACAAAUCCAUGAGCACUAUUAAAGACUUAGUGACAAAGUUCACAGAAUCACAGUGUACAAAGCAAGUAAACUCUAGAAUCUAUAGUGUGUUCUGAGUAAGAUGGCAUAUUAUCCGCUUCUCUCAGGCAAUUCAGAUCAGUGAUUUGGCGUCUGCAUUGCAAGAAGAUAUUGGAAGCUGUCAAACAUAACAUAACUCAAACAUAAGAUAGCUUUCUCAGUUCUGUUAAGUAUCAAGAACAUUGUUUUUCCUUUUACACCACAGUAUGCUAUAACAAUCUACUCAGCUUCACGUCUGAGCCGUAUUUUCAUCUCCUUGAGGUGAAUUGCUGCUACUAGGCUUAUCAUUUCCACCAUACCUCUGUCAAAAAGAAACAUCAAAAGUUCACAAAUCACAACCAAUGUUCAAGACUCAGUCCAAAUCGAAUACAAAAAAACAAGAAGAAGCCAUGAGUAGCUUUGUUACCUUCUUUCUAAAAUCGAAAGGAACGUAUCUGUACUUGACCAUGUGCACGAUUUGUCGUUUCAUAGUGAGAAAAUAAAGAAACAACCAGUAGCAAAGCAAGAUGGGCCAGAACACAGGCACAUCCAAGAACGAGAAGAAGGUCAUCACAAACGCUACAACAAAAGCCUUAGUAGCUGCAUACCUGAUACAUCACAGAAUCAAGAUCACUACUAUUCUUUAUUUUAAUUAAAAAUCUCAGAUCAAAUCGAAUUUGUGAGAAAUCUACCAGAACUUGAACUCAGGAAGACGACGAACAAACGGCUUGAACUCAUCAGAAUCUUUACUAGACUCAGAAGAAGCCGAAGCAGGAUCCAAGGCUUCGAGCUCUGGAUCGACUUUGGGAGAGAGGAAACCGAUCAAGAGGUUUAAGAUGUAAGUCGCGAGACCAUACGAGACGACGAAGAAUCCGUAAGCGUAGUAAACUCUGUAGAUGUAGAUCACGGCGGCGAUUAACGUUACUAGCCAUCUUCGAACGAGGUGUGGAGCCGAUCUGUCGAGGUGAUUCUGAAACGAUUUCGAGAAUUCGAUUCUCCAUCGUGCAAGCGGUGAAUCGCUCAUUGUGUAUCCGUCUCCUUCGUUUCCUGAUUCGUCCUCCAUGGUCACAAUGAUCUUCGAAUCAAACACGAGAGAGAGAGAGAGAGAGAGAGAGAGAGAGAGAGAGAGAGAGAGAGACUCACACAACCCGAACCAAAAAAAUUACAGAUACAUACAACAACCUUAUUUUCCAGUACAAGAAGCCUCCAACACAAUUCACAAACCAACUUAAUAACACCUUACAAAAAAGGUUGAACCCAACGCUUUUAACAGAUCUAGGGUAAUACAUCCAAUCACUAUAGGAACUUUACAUUCCAAUUUUCAUAAGGUCCAACCAGACGUACUCGCUUCAAAGCCCACCAUUUAAAAAAAAAAAUACCAUACACAUCUCUUACAAAUGCAAACCCAAAAUACAAAUCAUAAAAUCAUACAAAAAAUAAUUAUGUAGAUCACAAGUAAAGUAAAUCCCGCCCGUAGGGCGGGCCGACUCUAGUUAUAAAUAUAAACUAGUUUUAUGUUUAUAUGGAUGGUUUAUAGAUUUUUGAUAGUUUUAAUGGUUUUUAUAUGUUUAAUAACACUAAGAUCUAAUCCAGUAACGUGACCGGUUAAUGGUCGAACCAUUUAUUAGAUCCAACCCGACUAUAUAACUAAUUCAUGGUCGAAUCCGGUUCAACCAUCGGAUCGGUCUGGUUUUAAAAAUACUGCUAAACACCCGUAUAUAUGCCUAGAUGUUUAGAUGAAAGAUAUAUGACCAAUAGUUAUCCAAACACAUGUGUUUAUGCCUAGGUGUUUGGAUCAAAGAUAUAUGACUAGUUCGGAUUUCUCGAAGUUUUUGGAUUAAUUUGGUUUAAAUCCUCUCAGGUUCAUCUAAACGGUUUCCACUACUUGUUUAGAUUUUUGAGUUUUUAAUCAGUUAUUUUUACUCAAAAGUAAAACUAUACACAAUUAUCUAAUAACUUAAAAGUUAAAAGUAGAAUUUAAUAUACAAUAAAUGACUAAAAAUAAAAAAUAAAAGUUCAAAAUAAAAAUGAAACUGAUUACUUAUUUAUUCAGAAAUGGUAUAACAGUGAGACAAAUACAGAUAAACCAGAUUACAAAAAGUCUGCUAUGUUCCAAAAUCACAGAGCUUGAAGCUGCUGCUUUGUUUGCUUGAAGCAAUCUUGUAAGAAGUUGUGAAGCUGUGAGGAGUACAAGUCAGGAAAGUUCCGGUAGUGUUCGACAUGAGGAGACGACCUGAAGCUGAAAGAAUGUAUCUUUCUUCCAAUCUUUUGUUGCUCUUUGAUCCGUAGCUCUACGGAAUGAGACGGAACAACUUUAUCCCCAGAGCUGUAAAGAUAAAGCUGAGGGCAUGGAGGAUGGUUCUCAUAGAGUUUCUCGAUGAUUUUCGUGAGCCUCCUGCGACACAAUAAUUCAAAUUUCAGAUUAAUCACAACCAGUUGACAAAUAAUGGGUGUAUAAAUAGUGUGAAGCAUACAUGUUGACGUCUGGGAUGUUUAAGAUGAUGGGGAAGAGUUUCUCUAGAGAUGAUAGCAUCAUGUUUUCGAUUCCUAGAGGUUCCUUCUUUUGUGCGUUUUGAAGCCUAAUCUUCUUGGCUUCUUGGACUGGUUGGUUCUGUGUUUAUGGUGGAGCUACGUUUCUUCAGUAUAGCUGCAGUAAAACCAGCUGCCAAAAUCUGCAAGUAGAACCGAAUCUAUAGUUCAUCUUCUUUAUAAUAAAAUAUACUCAUCGCUAUUUAUAUGCCAGUCGAAAUGAUGAUUAAGAUGUGUACAAAGACUAAAACCAUGAUUAAGUAGACAAAACAAAUGUCAACAUAAGGAAACUAAGAUCAUGAUCUGAGAUUUACUUAUUCAGCUAUUUUUUUUAUCUUGUAAUCGUGUUCAUCUUUGUAAACGUUGGGUUUGAUAUCAAUACGAGAGGUUACAGAGAGUUUAUUGAGAGAUCUGAGUUGUGAACUUAUCAGAAACUAGUGAGGUUGAAGAGAUUCAAUACCAAAGAAGUGCAAACAUUUGGAGAAUUACUAUGUCGUUCAGCAUCCUUAAUUAAGAACCUGAUGUUCUCUCCUACAUACAUGAAUCUGGUGCUUUUUUUUUUCUUUUUUUUUUUCUGAUCAUUUUGUUGUCAAGGCAUAUAACUGAAUCCAAGAUUCCCGAGUUGAUGAAGAAAGAUGUGGUUUUAAACACUGAACCUGCUUUGAUUCAAAUGGAGGGACAGACAAAGCUGAAAUGAGAACCGUAGAAACUGAAUUAAUUUGCACUCCACUAUAAUACUGAACCAACCAUGACUUUAAAUCUAUACAUAUAUGAAUGAAGUAAGAGACAACACAAUCCAAAUCCUGGUUCUGUGUAGAGUUGAAGCAUUGAGUGUAGCGAAGAAGAGACGCAUAUACCUUAAUUUAAAAGGUUAAGUAAACCAUCAAUGGCACUCAAGAGAGAAUCUGUUCAAAAAAAUCAUGAAAAGUUUUCGAAAAAAGAGCAAAAAAAAUUUGGACCAUUUCUCGAUUUGUGCGUGUCAUCCUUGCGCAGGGGCCAUGCUAAUCUUCUCUGUAUCGUUCCAAUUUUAUCGGAUGUCCCCGAAGGGACAAUCAUGUUUGUGACUCCAGAGAUAUAAAAACAGUUCGUUAGCUUCCAUUCUUACCGAUGUGGGAGGAAGAAAGAAACAGAAUUAUUCAUGUGGGCCAUCUGAUAGGCCAAUUCUUUGUGUGUUAUUAGUGGGUUCAAGUGGACAUUUAAACAUACCCAUAUCUCUCUUUUUUGUACAGCUGUGCUAUUUGAGGAGUCCGCUAUUUGAUCACUUCUUUCAAAAGAAUCAGAGAAAGGACAGAAUAUAAGAAGAAGAAAAAACUAAGUGGGAGAAAGAAACUAAGCGGUCGUUUGAUACUCUUUAAGCAUCUUGUAUUUCGUUCUGAUCCAUUCAAUAAAGGAGAAGUUACAUUCAGUUCCGAUCAACUAUCAUAACAUUUACAUACUGAACAAAUCCAUGAGCACUAUUAAAGACUUAGUGACAAAGUUCACAGAAUCACAGUGUACAAAGCAAGUAAACUCUAGAAUCUAUAGUGUGUUCUGAGUAAGAUGGCAUAUUAUCCGCUUCUCUCAGGCAAUUCAGAUCAGUGAUUUGGCGUCUGCAUUGCAA
rnacentral:lncRNA from 1 species